UACGGGAGGCAGCAGUGGGGAAUAUUGCACAAUGGGCGAAAGCCUGAUGCAGCUAUGCCGCGUGUAUGAAGAAGGCCUUAGGGUUGUAAAGUACUUUCAUCGGGGAGGAAAAACAAAACUAAUAAUUUUAUUUCUUGACGUUACCCGAAAAAGAAGCACCGGCUAACUCCGUGCCAGCAGCCGCGGUAAUACGGAGGGUGCUAGCGUUAAUCAGAAUUACUGGGCGUAAAGAGCACGUAGGUGGUUUUUUUAAGUCAGAUGUGAAAUUCCCUGGGCUUAACCUAGGAACUGCAUUUUGAAACUGAAAUACUAGAGUAUCGUAGAGGGAGGUAGAAUUCUAGGUGUAGCGGUGAAAUGCGUAGAUAUCUGGAGGAAUACCUGUGGCGAAAGCGGCCUCCUAAACGAAUACUGACACUGAGGUGCGAAAGCGUGGGGAGCAAACAGGGAUUAGAUACC
rnacentral:rRNA from 1 species